CUCAAGUCGGUGCCGAUGCUGUCCUCCUUAUGGCAGAGAUGCUACAUGUGUUUGUUCAAGAAGCUGCACAAAGAACGAUAAAACAGGCUGAGGCAGAGGACUGUGACCGAAUGGACAUAGAACACUUUGAGAAGAUCCUGCCUCAACUGCUGUUGGAUUUCUAGUAUGACUUCAGGCCAGAAGAUGGCGCCAGAGAGCUAUCCAGUCCUCAAUUCAGAAUUCGAGAGAUUGACCAACUCUUGGAGGACAAUGGAAGUAAAGAAAAAGGCUUCUGUUUUGUUUGUAAACGUAAAGAAGCACUUUAUUUACUUCUAUUGUCCUCCAAGAGUGUCUGAAUCUACUUCUUCUUAAUUCAUGCACCUUGGUUGGAGAGAGGGAGGGAUCCCUUCCACCGGUCCUACAUUCAGCCCAUUUAGGAUAUUCUAUUGUAAUUAGUCCUUUAUUUCAGUUACAUUGCACACGGUCUCUCGAACUCUGUACAUUUUGCUCUGUGGUUUUGCCUUCGUUUGUUGUUUGAAAUGAUUUGAAACCAUUGCUAACUAAUAAAAGUUGUUGCGUGCUUUUUUUAUUUAUUA